GGCCCGAGGGCCGAAAGUCCAUUUCGGCUGUUCCAGUGGGUCGCAAAAGGGGUGGAAGUGCCGGUUGCUGUUGACUUGUGAGUGCUUUGCACCCGGAAUUCGGAAACCAGAAAUACGGACACGGAUACGGACACAUUUACGGCGAGGGUUCGAGUGAAAUUCGCGCAACUAUUUGUGAAAUUCGGGUGGAACAUAAAAUUGCGUUAUCUAUGGUCUCAUUAUCAUCAACAGACGGCGGGCGAAAUCCCGGAACUUCACCCUCACUCAGUUCCCUCUACAAUCCGCAUCCCAAUUCCAAUCCCAAUCCCGUCCGGAUGCAGUCAAGUUGAAAAUUAAUUUUGUCACAGUUGCGCAUCGGCGGAAAGUGUCAUUAUGAUAUCGCGAUAUUCCCACUGACACUCCGCCCACCGCGAUGAUUUUCCGUUGAUGAUGAGAGCCUGUCGUUCGUACUUCCGUAUUUUUGGUAUAAUAUAUAUGUGCGAGGGUCGCUUCAAGCGUUGCCAAUUGCUAAGCACACGUCUGAAGUCCACCCCUCUGGUUUUGCCAUCCGGCAAAUUGAAAUAGUCGCGUGAUUCAGUCGAUUUUUUAAGCGAUUCGAUUUGCCGGCAAUUUGUUUGGCAUUAGGCAGUUAAAAAGUUUUCACUUCUAUUUUUUGGGGUAGGACUCCUUGAGGCAUUUGCUUUUGUUUUGCCUGCAACGCCUACGUGGGAAUUUGUAAAUUAAUUUAAAUGAAAAUUUAAUUUUAUUGGCUGUGACAAUUGCUGCACGGUUUUUGGUUAAGAGAUAUUAAAAGCGUGGGAAAUAUAAAAAUCUUUCAACAUUUACAUAAGGAUUAGACGCAGACAAAGACGAAUGCCAAGACCUCAGAGGGCUCUCGGGUGAUAGAACUGAUGGAACGGCCUGGCGUAUUAUUUCCCAUUUUUCCCAGUGUACAUCUGGCGUCAGGGGCUUCCGAGACAGAGUCUGCAUUUGGGGGCGCGGCGGCGACUUCAUUACUCUGCGUCAUUAGGCACUCAAAUUGUUGCCAUUGGGUUAACUCUUCUACUGAAUGCAGGGUAUGAGAAAGGUAUAUAUUAUCAGAAAACAAAACUAAACAAAAAAGAUAGAUCUUAAAAAGGUACAUAUGUAGAAUGGGCUUACAUUACCAUUUUUGACAUAAUAUCAAGGAAAGUAUUCGGUUUCAGCUUGGUAAAAUAUAAACCUAUUAUCUUCUUGUUAAGCAAAUUAAAUAAAAACACAUUGAUAAUUUUAACUUUAAUAUUUAUAUUAAAAAUAUGUGUUAUCAUUAAAGGGUAUUUCCUGUUUCACCCCUUACCCUAUAUCUACUUGUUUAACUCUUUCGAUGAAAUUGAAACGGUUGCGCUUCAAUGCCAAACGGAAGUCGGCGUCAACGUCUAAGGUGCGUCCGUCACCUCAUCCUCCCCCUCCUGGGCCACUCCCCUGCUGACCCCUGACCCCUGAGCCCCCUCUCCGCCCACGGCUAUGAAGUCACAAAAGGUCGCGCUUGGUCAGCGCCAGAGGUUCGGUGUCAUUUAGUCAUCCACUCAUUCAGUCAAUCGAUCGAUCGGCAUUAUCGACCCGCUGCGAACUGUGCUAAUAUCGUCGAGUUAACUGCUGUGCAGUUGUUCGUAAUUUGCUUUUAAUUUUUAUGACCGUUGCACCCUUUCCGCCUGUUGUGGAAAUUA